rnacentral:sRNA from 1 species
UAAGAAGGUUCUUCUGCUAAAAUCAUGCACGUCCUGUGCAUAACGCAGAAGUCACCGCGUCCUGCGGA